UACGGAGGGUGCAAGCGUUAUCCGGAUUCACUGGGUUUAAAGGGUGCGUAGGAGUGCAGGUAAGUCAGUGGUGAAAUCUCCAAGCUUAACUUGGAAACUGCCGUUGAUACUAUCUGUCUUGAAUAUUGUGGAGGUGAGCGGAAUAUGUCAUGUAGCGGUGAAAUGCUUAGAUAUGACAUAGAACACCAAUUGCGAAGGCAGCUCACUACUCAAUCAUUGACUCUGAGGCACGAAAGCGUGGGGAUCAAACAGG
rnacentral:rRNA from 1 species